ACUAUGUUAACAAUUUUACACCAAACUGUUCCACUGAUGAAAUUCUUUGAAUGAAAAAUUUUUAUUUACAGAGACAAGAGUUGUCCCCCUCAACCUUUUCAACAAAAAUAUAGAUUUUCUAAGCUUACAAAUAAUUAUGCUGACUGGAAUUUUUUAACUUUUUGAGAAAGUUCAUCAAUUAAGAUUCAAAAUUUUAAGGCACAAGUAUGCACAAAUAUGUGCAAUCUUUAAAAAAAAAUAGUGUGAAUCCUGCAAUUGUGUGUCCUAGAGUAAACUCUUGAGAAUCUCUUGCUCUGGGCAACAAAUUAUUGUAUGCUACUUCUAGAACUUGACUUUUGGCUACGUGCUUAAUUUUGCCUGAAAACUCAAAAUAAACUGUACUUGUUAUGUUGUCAGGUGAGCUAAACAGCAAAUACCUUUCUAAAGGACGCUCCCUUGAAUAAGCCCAAGAUCGCCUUGCAAUUAAUCUUUUUUUUUUGCACAUCUCUGACCUAUAUAUGUACUCACACAGGGCUCUCAUUUCAUGAUAUAUGUGGCCAAAAUUCACAGUCUCCAGUAAAAUAUAUAUUGUCCCUAUUUUUCAAAAAAAAUGUUCCUGAAUUAAAAAAAGAAAUCUUUCAGUAAUUUUAUCUGCCUAAAGCAGAAGAGUCCCUAAACAAUAUAAUAAAAUUGGCAUUGAAAUAGAAGGGGUUUUUGUCACAAACACAUAAGUUUCCCAUAUAUGUACUCCAAGGAUGGAACAGAGGCAUAUAAAUCCCAAAAGUAGUUUGACAGUACUUAACAAAUUUAAACAGACAGAGUGACAGGAACAGCCAUUAUUUUCAUAAAGCCUUCGGCUUUCGCAUGUAUACAUAGCAUUCCUUCCUGGACGUAUCGAUUAAAUCGCACUUUAAAAAAGAAUCAAAUCUCCCGCGUAAUGAGGUAUUCCCCAUCGCACAUGCGCAGUACACCAUACAAUACCGGAAGUAAACCCCGGAAAUUUCAUAUCUUUUCUGGCGUUCGAUGGUACACACGUGUGGGUUAUAUUCACCCUAUCUUACGGGUUAUACCUUUUUAUUUUUGGUAGGUAAAGUAUACCUUGUUAUUUGUUUUUGUCAUGGAUGAUGUUUUAUCCGCUAUGCCUUCUUCGGAAGAGGGUUUUUCUGGACUUUCUGAGUCUGACAUGCCUAAAACUUCUAAACCUCCUCGGCGGUCAAAAAAUGUAACAAAGUCUAAAAAACCCAAAGGUAAGGCCUUAAAGUCCACAGUUCAUGUGGUAAAUAAGAGUGUUGGCCAAAUCUCUUCGGAGAAGUCUUCGGACAGGCCAUUAUUAGAUGUUUCGAAGUUGUCAGCCGCUGACAUUGCAUCUCUUAGGAGUUUGCUUGGCAUACAACAGGUGGAUUCGAAUCCUGUUGAUAAUGAUGAUGAGGUUUAUUUUGCCGAAAAAGAUUCGUCUGUUAGGCCUAAUAUUACUGUUCAGGUUGAUGCAGAUAAUGUAUCUGACAAUGAAUAUAGGCUAAUCAAUGAAAUGAUUAGGGUAGACAUAAUUGCAACAGAAUUUCUGUUGACACUGUACGAAAGCAGGUACUGUAAUAAGUACUUUAAAGAAAAUCCCAAAAAAUCCGAUAAGCAAUAAAUGUGUAAAUGCAUUUUAAAUAAUGUUAAUUUUUAACAAUUUAACAAUGGCCCAUAAAAUACACCAUACACGAAAUACUUCGAAUGACGUAGAGAAAUAUGACGUCACAAGUAAAACUAUCAUGGCGGUAAAUGGUAAAUAUCGCGGGGUGAAUUUGUGAUUUACGUCUUUAUCGCUGAAUAUAGAAGAACAAGUGUAUCAUCAGGUAUGUUAACAUUUUGCUGGCAUAUUAUUUAAUAUUUAAAAUCAUUAACAAAAUAUUUCUAAGUUGUUUUAUAAACACCGGAUGGUCUUUUUGUUAUUUCAAUUUACAGGUACAUUUUAAAGUAAACAAAAUGAAAUUUGUUACAGGUUACUUAUAAAUAAAUUUCAUUGUACCAUAAGAACGUUAUAGACACAACCGUAAUCACAAAAAUGAUUUAAAAAAUUAUUUAGGUAGAAGUCUUGGAUGCAUUAUGUUUGAUAUAAAAAUCUACGGAAGCAAAUUCGGGACAUCAAAUCAAUUAUUUGUCGUUAAAAUCAUCUUAUAUUUCUCGUCAAAAUUGGUCAAUUACAUAAAAAAUAUGCAAGUAGAAUGUCUAACAAUCAAUAUUGUUUCAGAUAAUAGAUGAAAGAUUGUGUUCCCUUUUGUUAAAUGGAUUCAAAAGAUGUUUAAGCUUUCCUUCAAACAAGAACGUAUGCUAUUUAAAAAGAUGAAAGGUUAUGUUCGACUAUGUGACAAGAGUUGCAAUAAUUCCUAAUCUACACUUAACCAAGACGAUAUGUUUUCUGAAAAGAUGGAAGUUUGCGCACGUGUGUGUGAGGAAGGCUGCAAUGAAUUUUAAUCUAUUGUUUAAACAACAGUGCUUUUAUAAUUUGAAAAAAAGGUUAGUAUUUCUGCAUAAUUUUCAUAAAAGAGGAACAGACACUCAUAAUUACUAAUAACAAAAUAUUUACAACACUGUCAUUGUUUUACUUUAUAAUAUAUUAUGACAAAUUAUUUCAUUUAAUAAUUCAUUUCUGUUAAGGGAUCUAUGAGGGCAUUUGUGCUUGACUUGUUCCAGCGAUGUAGUAAACUGACAAACUGUUUUGACUAAAGUAGUAAUCUGUUUCUGAUUUCAGAUGGAGGAAUGCCCUAUUUGCAAAAAAAGUUUAGAGGACGGCACAGCUCGCGUGCGCCUCAGUGAAAAGGGGGUCAUUGGUAUUCAAGCUGCCAGUGCAUAUUCACCAACAGUAAUUGAAGUUCAACCUGGAAAUUAUGUUCAUGUCAAGUGUAGGAAGGAUCUCACUCGACCUCAAAAGAAACUGACUGAAAAUAACGAACAAGACCCUAAAAGAAUUUUGCGUACACAUACAAAUAAUUUUGAUUUUAAGUCUCGUUGUCUGUUUUGUGCAAAUUAUGCAAAGUUUUCUUCAAAGACAAGAAAACGCUCUCAUGAUAUUUUUCCAGUAAGAACACUUGAUUUUCAAAAUAAAAUUAUGGAUAUAUGUCAAAGUAGAAAUGAUCUUUGGGCAAUUGAAAUUCAUUCAAGGUUGAACCAAGUACUUGACAUACCAGCCGCAGAAGCCAUAUACCACCAAACUUGUAGUGUUAAUUUUAGAACUGGUAAAGGCAUUCCCAAAACACUAAGUGAACCAAAUACAGGCACAAACUCUAUAAAACCUCCUGGAAGACCAACAAAUGAUGACCAGGCAGAAGCCUUUAAAGCGGUUGUUGAAUAUAUUGAAAAUAAUGAAAACUAGAGGAUGCUUUU